GAUGAACGCUGGCGGCGUGCCUAAUACAUGCAAGUCGAGCGAACAGACGAGGAGCUUGCUCCUCUGACGUUAGCGGCGGACGGGUGAGUAACACGUGGAUAACCUACCUAUAAGACUGGGAUAACUUCGGGAAACCGGAGCUAAUACCGGAUAAUAUAUUGAACCGCAUGGUUCAAUAGUGAAAGACGGUUUUGCUGUCACUUAUAGAUGGAUCCGCGCCGCAUUAGCUAGUUGGUAAGGUAACGGCUUACCAAGGCAACGAUGCGUAGCCGACCUGAGAGGGUGAACGGCCACACUGGAACUGAGACACGGUCCAGACUCCUACGGGAGGCAGCAGUCGGGAAUCUUCCGCAAUGGGCGAAAGCCUGACGGAGCAACGCCGCGUGAGUGAUGAAGGUCUUCGGAUCGUAAAACUCUGUUAUUAGGGAAGAACAAAUGUGUAAGUAACUAUGCACGUCUUGACGGUACCUAAUCAGAAAGCCACGGCUAACUACGUG
rnacentral:rRNA from 1 species